CCGCCCUUGGCGCAGCUGGCUAGCGCGCUUGCAUGACACGCAAGAGGUCACUGGUUCGAGUCCAGUAGGGCGGA
rnacentral:tRNA from 1 species